CGAUUGUCAAACAAUUUUGACAUUCAAAUUUAUUAACAUACUAUUUUACAUUAAUUUAAAUUUUUCCCUACAUAUUCGCUGGUAGCCUCGGAGGCUAUUCUAACUAGGCCCGGACAUAGGUGAGCUCAUGGGCUCAACCUGAGAUAAUUUGCUAGCAAGAGCACUAACCUUAGCAAGAGCAGUGGUUCGCAGAAUCUACCACCGGAUCGGAAUCGCAGCCCAGAAGACCUCGGUGGCCUGUGUCUAAGGGUAUCCCAGUUCCGUGUUGCCGAUCGCGGCUAUAAAACAUGAAGCUAUUAAAUAAAAUAAUAUUUAAA